rnacentral:miRNA from 1 species
ACAUUAAUGAAAACGAUCGUG